GCCGGGUGCGGUGGCACGCGCCUGUAAUCCAAGCUACCGGGAGGCUGAGGCUGGAGGAUCGUUUGAGCUCAGGAGCUCUGAGCUGCAGCGGACUAUGUCGAUCGGGUGUCCGCACUAAGUUCGGUAUCGAUAUGGUGCUCCUGGGGGAGCCCGGGACCACCAGGUCGUCUAAGGAGGGGUGCACCGGCCCAGGUCGGAAACGGAGCAGGUCAAAGCCCCCGUGCCGCUCAGUAGUGGGAUCGCGCCUGUGAAUAGACGCUGUAGUGCAGCCUGAGUAAUACAGCGGGACUCAGUCUUU
rnacentral:SRP_RNA from 1 species